CAAUGAUUAUUUGGGAUUUUUUUUUUUUUUUUUUUUUAAACAAACAAUUUAAAAAUUGUAACUCCGUCACAUGGCUGCAAAGGUGCGGUCACAUUUAGCAAAAUUUUGCAGGGGAAAUUUGUCAUUUUGAUAGGAUUACACUUGAAUGCAAAUUUAGAAAAAAAUCACUAAGCAGAUUUCAAAUCAGGUUCAAGAUUGUCAAACAAAUUAGUUGUGUUGACCAGCGAAUUUGGCGCUUUAUGCAUCACUACACUAUUGACAAUGGACAAUUUUUUUCGUAAAAAAAAAAAAAGAAUAAAAUCCCCCCAAACGAAUUAUUUUAAAGUUGAGCUCAGUCACAUGACUGUAAAAAUGAUCGGCGAAACUUCAAAGGCGAAAUCUAGUCAUUUUAAAGAGAUAAUUCACCAAAAACUGAAAAGGUUUUGACGGCAGCCAUUGACUUCCAUAGUAUGGAAAAAAAAUACUAUGCGAGUCAAUGGCUACCAUCAACUGUUUGGUUAUCACCUUUUUCAAAACAUCUUCUUCUGUGUUCAACAGAAAACGAAACUCAUACCGGUUUGGAACAACUUGAGGGUGAGUAAAUGAUGACAAAAUGUUAAUUUUUGGGUGAACUAUCCCUUUAAUAGGAAUCCACGUGAUCAGGAAUUUUUACGUGAGAAUGAAACAUUUCCCUCAAGCAGAAUUCUCAUCAGGUUCAAGUAGGGCUGCACGAUAAAUCGCAUGCGAUAUUUAACGCGCAUCUUGUCAGAAAGCCGGUUCUGUAAUCAGCGGUAAAUCUCCAUCACCUGCGUGCUUUCACAUUGAGCAGCAUUAACUACACAGAGCCGUUGUUCACCGACGAGCUGCGCAAAAAAUCGGGCAAAUAUGAACGUGGUUUUGCGCAGCUCCUCGGUGAACAACGGCUCUGUGUAGUUAAUGCUGCUCAAUGUGAAAGCACGCAGGUGAUGGAGAUUUACCGCUGAUUACAGAACCGGCUUUACUGAUAAGAUGCGCAUUAAAUAUCGCAGUCGAUUAAUCGUGCAGCCCUAGGUUCAAGACAUCAAGACAAAUUUGGUGAAUGUGACCGCACCUUAAGUGUUGUGCUGGUUGGCUUUAUUCAUCCUAUAGGAGUACUGACUAAAAUCUGGUGCUGUCUAGUUGGCACCAAGCGCCUGAAAUGGACUUUUGUUUUAUUAAAAAAAAUUCAAUUUGUGGCCUGAAAAUGAGAACGGGUCUCUGGGUAGCUUUAGUGUGCCAGGUUAAUUUUUCUCCGCAAUAAAAUGUGCAAAUAAUGUCCGCCGUCGAUCCCAUUUUCAAUAGUGCACGUCAAACUAGUGUUCUUCGCAUUACUGUAGUGCAAUACUUCUGCUGUUCGUAGUUAGUUUAGUAAUUGACCGCAAAAGGGAAAAAAGACGUUUCUACUGCAUGCUUAUUAGCUAAAAUUGCAAAACAUCCGGGGCUCUCAUUAUUUAGUGUUGCCUGUAUGCUGAACGUCAGCAUGUUUAAGUGUUUUGAAAACAAAAAGCUGCAGUUUAAUUGGUCAAAAUCUUGUGUUUUUGUUGUCUGAAUCCUCACCACUGAAACUGUUGAUAAUCCCAGCCAUUGUACACUACUUCCUUGUUCUAGUAACAUUUUCUUAUCCUCCUCUAUGUUGCCGUUGGUUUGGUGACGGUUGUUGCGAGAUGCUGUAGGUACGUGUCGGUCCCUCACCUCCUGCUGUGAUCUGAAAGUCUUUGUCGAAGGUGGAGGAGCGGGCUUGAAGGGCGUCUGACGGUUGGCAAAUACAGG
ensembl:lncRNA